GACGAACGCUGGCGGCGUGCUUAACACAUGCAAGUCGAACGGAAAGGCCCUGCUUUUGUGGGUUUCUCGAUUGGCGAACGGGGGAGUAACACGUGAGUAACCUGCCCUUGACUGUGUGAUAACUUCAGGAAACUGGGGCUAAUACCGGAUAGGAUCUCCUGCUCCAUGGUGGGGGUUGGAAAGUGUCGGCGGUUGGGGCUGGUCUCGCGGCUUAUCAGCUGGUUUGGGGGGUAGUUGCUUACGAAGGGUUUGACGGGUAGCCUGCCUGAGAGGGUGACCAGCCACCUUGCGCCUGAGGUAGGGACCAGAAUCCUACCGGCCGCAGUAGUGGAGAAUCUUGCACAAUGGGGGGACGUCUGAUGUAGAAACGCCCCGUGCGGGAUGCACGGCUUCGGGUUGUAAACCGCUUUCGCCUGUGCUGAAGCGUGCGUGACGGUACUGGGUAAAGAAGCCACGGCUAACUACGUG
rnacentral:rRNA from 1 species